rnacentral:rRNA from 1 species
UACGGAGGGUGCAAGCGUUAUCCGGAUUCACUGGGUUUAAAGGGUGUGUAGGCGGGCUAUUAAGUCAGUGGUGAAAUCUCCGGGCUCAACCUGGAAACUGCCAUUGAUACUAUUAGUCUUGAAUUUUGUUGAGGUAGGCGGAAUAAGUCAUGUAGCGGUGAAAUGCAUAGAUAUGACUUAGAACACCAAUUGCGAAGGCAGCUUGCUAAACAAAUAUUGACGCUGAGGCACGAAAGCGUGGGGAUCAAACAGG